UUAUUAUUAUAAAUUUAAGGCCAUGGCAACUUGAUCAGUGAGCAUUUAUGUUUUGGGAGGAUGUAAUUUUGAGAUUACAAAGAAAAACUAUAGAUUUGGCAAUUUAGGCAACUAUGUGUGAAAUAGUUUGAGGACACGUCUGCAUAUAAAGACAAAGUCAUUGCAACGUGGUCGCACGUGGCUGGGGAAAAUGUUGUGUUUUUGGAUGCUCAGAGACCCGUGUAAAUGAUACAGACAAGGUUAUGGCAAAUGCUGACAAGGGAUCGGACUUUGUAGGACAGAGCACAUGGGAUGUGCUAGGUAUACUGUGCACCCACAUUUGAAACUAGCCCUCUAGGAAGCGGAGUCUUCAACAGUUUGAGCAGUGGGGCCUAUGGUUUUAAUGAUCCUGUCAUCAGUUUGUUUGGGCCACAAUAUGUAUGGGCAGUCACCCGAGCUGGAGGGUUAUGAAUUUACUUUCUUCAUUUUAUCUUUGGCAAGUGUUACAUGUAUAUCUAUUCAUCACAUUCGACACAUGUAAAAAGGGGUUGGCGAAGUAUGGUUCCAUUAGUUCGUGAAGUUUAUAGAUAUGUUUACUUGUGAACUAUAUCAUUGAUGAAAAGUUUAAAAGUAAUGAAAUGAUUAAGAUGAAAACCGUUCUUGUUAUGAAAUAUAUGGUUUUCAACCCAGUCUCUCUGUUGGGCUUUUGUUAUGAAACACUAGUGCUAGUAGCUGGGAGCUAAUCAUGUCGAUAUUAUCUAUAUAUUUUGAAUUUCUUCCACUCAUUCUCUUUGGGUCUUGCAGCAAGAGUACAUUCGUGGAAUCAAUGCAUGGAAUUUUACUCUGGAGGAUUUGAAAGCUCAAGCUGCCAUUGACAAAGAGGGUGCAUGAUUGGUGUAAAAAUAGGCAGUGACUUAGACGAGUUGAUUUAUCAAGGCAUGUACUAGCAAUGACUGACAUGUUGUAGAAUCUGAGGAAGGAAAUCAAUGCGGUGCUGAAGAAGGAAUCAAAUUACUUUGGUGACAUUGUGAUUUUGCCAUUUAUGGAUCGCUAUGAGUUUGUGGUUCUUAAAACCAUUGUCAUCUGUGAGUAUGGGGUGAGUAUGUUUCCUUUUCUGUUUCCUUUGUUAAGUGUUUUUUUUUUUUUUUUUGUUGGAAUGAUUAUUUGAUUCAGAUAAGUUGUACAGUCCACAGAGAAUUAUUGAAUGUCAUAAAAAGAUGGUUUUGGUUUGCCUUGGAGUCCAAUUAGUGACCCAAGUUUCCAGACUUGGGAAUCUUUGAUUUUGUUUUACAAAUGGGUUGCAUUUCUCCACUGCUUUGUUACAAUUAGCAAGAAUUCUGCUACUUCAUUCAUUUAUUUGACUAUAAAGUAUAUUUUCCCUAAAAAUAUGAACUGUGUUCAUUUCUC